GUCCUAGCCGUAAACGGUGCACGUUUGCUGUAAAAGGAAUCGACCCCUUUUGUGGCGAAGCUAACGCGUUAAACGUGCCGCCUGGGAAGUACGGUCGCAAGAUUAAAACUCAAAGAAAUUGACGGGGGCCUGCACAAGCGGUGGAGUAUGUGGCUUAAUUCGAUGCAACGCGAAGAACCUUACCUGGCCUUGACAUGCACAUAGUAGAAGCCUGAAAGGGUGACGAGGUAGCAAUACCAGUGUGCACAGGUGCUGCAUGGCUGUCGU
rnacentral:rRNA from 1 species